UCUCCCUCCCUCCUUUCGUAAAGUUGUUAUCCAAACCACAGAGAAACCCUAACUAAACGAGGGCGACGAGUCCAUGGCCGGGUACCGCAGCCGCAGCCGCAGCCGCAGCCGAAGCCGGAGCUACAGCCCACGCAGGCGGUACAGCCGCAGCCCUCCCCGCUACAGGCACUACGACGACCCGCGUGACCGCUACCGCGCCGGUCCGCCCCGACGCGGUUACGACCGACCGUCGGCGCCCACCGGGCUCCUGGUCCGCAACAUUUCCCUCACCGCCAGGCUAGAAGACAUUCGUGGUCCAUUCGAGCAAUUUGGCCCUAUAAAGGAUGUGUACCUUCCGAGAAAUUUCCACACAAAGGAAUUACGUGGUUUUGGAUUUGUGAAAUUCCGCCACCCUGAGGACGCUGCAUAUGCCAAGCAAGAAAUGAAUCAUCAAGUUAUUUGCGGUCGAGAGAUUACAAUAGUUUUUGCCGAGGAGAAUAGAAAAACCCCACAAGAAAUGCGCUUCAGAACAAGAUCAAGGCAUAUGGAUGGAAACUACAGAAGAAGGCAGUCGAUGUCAAGAUCCCCAAGGCCCCGUUACCCCUCUUAUUCACCUGAACCUUCUCCAGUUAGACAGAACUCCAGUCGUCAAAGAAUGUAGAGUCUAAAAGCCCAAAAGAUAAUCAUGAUGUUUGGCGAAUAAAGACCAAAGUGACAGUAUUAUGACCUCCAGAGUUGGAGCAUGAGAAAGCCAUACAGUUAAAGAUAAAGUGGUACUAGCACUCAAGAGUGUAAAGAUAAUCUUGGCUAAGAAACCUGAGGAAAACAGUUAUUUUUCAAGUGAGCUGAUGCUGUUGAGCCAGCAGUGGCAACACCUUAGUGCAUUGCACGUUAUAUUUUGGGAUCAAAGUGGGUAACCAAUUUUGUGAUGGAGAAGGGACAGAGAUAACUAUUCUCCUAGGGGUUCAUACUCUCCACCUACUCGGGACAAGAGGCAGCACAUAUCUGAUUGUCGAUCACCUAGCCUAGA